rnacentral:rRNA from 1 species
AUGGAGCAAGAUGAGCAGGAGACACUAAUGGAGCUAAAGAGGAGAACCAAGAUUGAGAACUUUAGGAAACAUAAGGAGGCAUCUGAGCAUGUUCAAAUGGUUAAGCAAAAACUACCAAUUCUUCUAACUGAAGAUGACUCUGAUCUGGAUGCAGAUGAGGACUUUGUUAACAGGCUUAAUGAUUUGAGGAGGCAGAGAGGGGACCCACUCCUUCAUUUUGAAGGAGACACUGAUGUGGAUGAAGUGUAUGGGGAAGAUGAGGAAGAGGAGCAAGUGGAGCAAGUGGAGGAGGAUGAGCAGAUGGAGCAUGAGGAGGAGGAGCAGGUGGAGCAACAACAGGAGCCACCAAAGAAGAAGGAAAAAAGAAAAGGGCCAACCAAGAGGUCACAUUCAAGCUUGGAGCAAAGAUUUGAGGAUGUGUGGAUACCAUCAUCAGAUGAGGAGAUAGAUGUAGGUGAUUUGAAGCAGGAAUAUGAUGAUGGAGCUGAGAAUGCACCUUAUAUUCUGCCCAAUGGAAGGAAGAGCAGAGCAUAUAAAGCACAACCAAGGAAAUGGUACAAUGAUGAAAGAGAGAACCCAGAGGAGCAGUUUUGUAGAAAGCUUUGUUUCCUUAAUGUGUACCAAUUUAGGAGAGCACUUCAGACAUUUCACAUAAGUCAGAAUAGGAAUUAUGACUUCCACAGAAACUGCAAUGACAGCAUCAUAGUUGUGUGCACUAAUGUAAAAUGUCCUUUCUACAAUGCAGCUUCUGUUGUUGCAAAUGAAAGUACUUUUUGCAUAAGAAAGGCUAAUUUUCUGCACACAUGCCCAGCAGUAGUAGAGAAUACCUAG